GCUUGUCUCAAAGAUUAAGCCAUGCACGUCUAAGUAUAAAUAUUUCACUUUGAAACUGCGAAUGGCUCAUUAUAUCAGUUAUAGUUUAUUUGAUAGUCCCUUACUAUUUGGAUAACCGUAGUAAUUCUAGAGCUAAUACAUGCGUCAAUACCUUUCGGGGUAGUAUUUAUUAGAUUGAAACCAAUGCGGGUUCCCCGGUAUUUGGUGAUUCAUAAUAACUUUCGGAUCGACUUCGGUCGAUGCAUCAUUCAAGUUUCUGCCCUAUCAGCUUUGGAUGGUAGGGUAUUGGCCUACCAUGGCUUUAACGGGUAACGGAGAAUUAGGGUUCGAUUCCGGAGAGGGAGCCUGAGAAAUGGCUACCACAUCCAAGGAAGGCAGCAGG
rnacentral:rRNA from 1 species